CCCCUUGAGAGUGGCGAACGGGUGAGUAAUAUAUCGGAACGUGCCCAGUCGUGGGGGAUAACGUAGUGAAAAUUACGCUAAUACCGCAUACGAUCUAAGGAUGAAAGCGGGGGAUCGCAAGACCUCGCGCGACUGGAGCGGCCGAUAUCAGAUUAGGUAGUUGGUAGGGUAAAGGCCUACCAAGCCAACGAUCUGUAGCUGGUCUGAGAGGACGACCAGCCACACUGGAACUGAGACACGGUCCAGACUCCUACGGGAGGCAGCAGUGGGGAAUUUUGGACAAUGGGCGAAAGCCUGAUCCAGCCAUUCCGCGUGCAGGAUGAAGGCCCUCGGGUUGUAAACUGCUUUUGUACAGAACGAAAAGGUUUCUAUUAAUACUAGGAGCUCAUGACGGUACUGUAAGAAUAAGCACCGGCUAACUACGUGCCAGCAGCCGCGGUAAUACGUAGGGUGCAAGCGUUAAUCGGAAUUACUGGGCGUAAAGCGUGCGCAGGCGGUUAUAUAAGUC
rnacentral:rRNA from 1 species